UAUAAACAUAACACUUUUUUCUAAAAUAUUUUGUGUGUGUGUAUACAUAAUAAAUAUAAACAGUACACAUAUGUAAACAAAUAAUGCAAUUAAUCAUUAUCGUUUGACAGCACUAAUAUUAUCAUAAAAUUCAUGGUAAUUUUAAGGUAUCCUUGUUACAGUGUAAUUAUACAUUUAAGUACUAACUAAUUUUAAUUAUCUACAUGUUGGGGUUAGGAUUAUGAUUUAGUUUAGGGUUACUUGCAUGUAAUUAUGUAUAAUUAAUUGCUAUUAUAUUUAUGCCUAAUUAAUUCUUAUAUUUUAAGUGCAAGUAACGUAUAACAAGGACACCUUAAAAUAAAGUGUUAACAAAGACAUUACCGUCAUUUUUAAUCAAUUUAAUGGGUCCUUGCGGAACAUAAAUAAACAAACAGAUAAAUAUUAUGUCAAACAUUUGACCCAUUGUGCAGCUUUAAAUAAGUUUUUCUUAUAUUUUAUGGUUGUUUCAUUUACAGUAUUUUUUUUCCAUUUACUGUAUUUUCCAUUUACAGUAUUUUAUCAAAACAGUGGCAGCUCAAACAAUAGCUGCUGAUUGUGCUUGCAACACAACAAUCAUGGAUUUAAUUCCUGGGGAAUAUUUGAACUGAUAAAAUAUGUACAUCAAAAGCAAUGUAAAACACUUUGGGUAAAAGCCUUUACAGUUGCGCACAAACAACAGGAGUCUAUGGGAUAAAACACAUAGCACAACAAAUGCCCUACAGACUUGAAUUGCUCUGACAGACACUGCUGAACUAAUACAUUAAGCUACGCCUGCGUUUAGGUUUUCUGUAUCAUUUAGAUGAUUUGGAUAUUUACUGUACGAAGGCGAAUGAAAGUUGAAGCUUUGUUAAAGUUGUCUUUAUGUAAAAUAGGUCUCAGUCAGUAAAGAUGACCGUUUGUUGUGUCCAUCUUGCUGAAGGCAAAGCAGUCUCCUCUGUGUGAAUGUUAAGGAGCAGAUGCCCACCUGGCCCACAGAGAAGCCUUUUGGACCAGGAGACACCCAUAUGUUAGAGGAGAUGAUUCCUGCCGAGGAUCACAUACUUUACUGCCACAAAUCUUACUGCGAAAGGAGAGCGAGAGGCAGAAGACAGAUGGAUUCCUUCACUCUUUCACUUUUCUCUGCGCGUGCGAUGGGAUCAGCUAGUGAGAGGCACGGGUAUCCACCACUAAUUAAAGGUGGUGGGUGGGAAUUGGAGGGAUUGCUGGACAGAUGGACUGCCUUCACCAAGGAGCCAAGGAUCUUUGAACCCCGGACUACGGAGCAUAUUUAAUUAAAGCUCUAAUUUUCCCAACGGCAUGAAGAUUUUUUUUUUGUGUGAACACUGACCCCAUUGUCUUUCUCAAGUUUCGGUAUGAGCAUAGAGGUGUUGACUUCUCUGAAUGCGAUGUUAGGAAUAUUCAAAUAUUUUUAAUAAAUAUCUAACAUGCAUAUAAAA